UACAGAGGUCCCGAGCGUUGUUCGGAUUCACUGGGCGUAAAGGGUGCGUAGGUGGUGGGGUAAGUCUCGUGUGAAAGCUCGCAGCUCAACUGCGAAAAGUCACGGGAUACUAUUCUGCUAGAGGCUUGGAGGGGGGACUGGAAUACUUGGUGUAGCAGUGAAAUGCGUAGAUAUCAAGUGGAACACCAGUGGCGAAGGCGAGUCCCUGGACAAGACCUGACACUGAGGCACGAAAGCCAGGGGAGCAAGCAGG
rnacentral:rRNA from 1 species